AUGCAGUUUUGUUUAUCAGUAAAAGCGUAGCCACUCAUCAGCCAGUUCCCCUACGAUACAUAUAGCUGCAAUGACGUACCCUGGAUCAAGGCAUUGAUCCGUAAAACGGAGAGCAGUCAGCUCAAGAUUAGUAGUCGGGACAAUGUUUCCAAGGUGGACCUAUUUCAUGAAUCAACCAGAGCCAAGGUCCCAUCCUGAAGUUGUUAACCACAUGCCUUUGACGAAGGACUUGGACAAGCGUUCCUGUUCAGAAUUGGAUGUGCCAGCACUUCAGAAACGGUUUGCACCUUCCUUGAAGAGGUGUGGAUUUCUUUAUGAGCAAGGAGAAGAGAUUUGAUUGUAACAGGUAAGAAAUCCCAGGCCCUGACUCAAAACGUGGAUACAACACUGGUCAUGGACGCUUCAUUUUUCCUUUAGCAGACACACGUUUCAGUCAUUACUAACUGUUAGGUAGGCCCAAUGUUUGAUACAUUUUUCUCACAAAUGGCGAAUAAUUAUAAAGUCAACUCAUGCCAAGGAGUACGGUACCGAUGGUUUCAGGCGUACAAUUAUUUGCACUUCUUAGGAAGCUAUGAGGCGUGCAAUCGCACACCUUAAAACGAAAGGAGUAAUGCUUUUGUUGUCAUGGACACUCAUUGCUUCUUGUCAUUAAUUCAUCAGCCUUCAUAAGGAAUUGCGAAUAAAAGUGGUAAUAAACCACGCUAUAGGGUCAUGUAAAUGAAACUUUGAUUAUAUAUUGACAGCUAACUCGUUGGGGCUUUGGUCUUGUGACGAAUGGUAUUUGUAGCAGUUCUUAGCUCUGAAAGGGUAUACCAAUGCCAAAUAAUCCCGGAAGUCUGCUCUGAGGUCUGAAGUUUAGUCUUGGUUGUUUUUUUAAAUGUUACUUUUGUUGUGUGAUUUUAUUUACGAAAUGUGAUAUAUACAUUUAAAAAAAGUUGGAGUUAACCAGUACAGGGAUAUAAAAUAUGACCCCAGUAGUCCUCGAUCCUUUAUCUUUUGGAGAAUUGAGGACAUCAAUGAAUGGUUAAAGGGUUAAAGAAGAAAAAGUACACCAGAUACACAAACUUGAUAUUUUGUUUCAUGGAAAAGAUUUAUUUUUCAUUCCCUAACUAAUUGCGCUUAACAGAGGGCACCAAAUUGUCCCUUUGACAAGAGUUCGUCUGUGAGCUGGUGACAACACCAUGCCACGAGUGGCGUCGUUACAAGACUUACAAAUACAACUCCUGUAUAUUUUGAAUUGUUUUUAAGAUGUUUGUGAAAUGGAUUCCAAGAUAAAUAUAUUUCUGCACCAGGAUUUACCAUAAUAUUUCAACAUCGAUUUGACGCAUCAACAAUGGCGGCUUUCUUGAUAAAGCCUCUUAAGACAUCUGGAAACAAGUUGGAGAUUUUUGAAACAAUUUAGCGUUAUCUCUAAACAUCACAAGACAGGUGUAUUCUGAAAUUAUUUUAAAUUAUUUUAACUUCUCUGUACGCUAACAAUUAGUAUAAUGAAAACAUUUUACGCACAAGUUGUAUGCACAGUAUGACUUCCACUUAUGUCAGUAUUAAGGUAAGGUAUUAAGCAUUAAGGUACCAUCGGCUCUGUUGCUUUACAAGAAGGGCCUAUACAGUAGUUGGUGGCGAAAGUUUAAGACAAAUCACGCGACAGUGACGUGCAUCAAGUUGCUUUUUGUUCAUAUCCUCGUGACAUUCAACUGGCCUACUUUUCACGUCUUCAUUACAAAGCCUCUGGUUUGAGAGAGCAUUUCAGAAACGUGACCUCAAUUACAGUUGGUGUGUGCACUUUGUGUAAAUGAUAACUGAAGUCUCUGAGUGCCCCUGAGUACCCAUUAUCAAAACAGUCCUUGCAAAGCAUUAUUGUGACUUGUCAUGAAAUUUUAACACAGUGUUGGUAAUUUGUGCCAAAGGGGACUGGCAACUUACCACUGAUAAUGAUAUACCUGCCUACAACCUUAAUGGCGGCCAUUUUUGAUGGUUGUCAGAACUUUAUAGAGUAGAACUCUCAUCAAAAUACACCUCUUACGCUAACACAUUUCCAAUACCAGUACAAAGGCACUUGAGUAUAAGAUGUGAAUCACACCUUUGAAAAUUGUUAGUAUCAGGCUUAAAGGUGGCCUUUUCAGUUUGUUUUAAGUCAAGCACCCAGUGUCAUAAUUAAGACGGUACAUGUAGUUACCUGUUCCAGAAAUGUACAAGAAAUCUACCAGACUACAAGUUUUGACAUCGUUUCUGCCUUUCCGUACACGCACAAGUGUUAAAAAUCAACAAAAUACUAUGGUAUAAGCAUUAGCAUUGGAUUAUAUCAAAUUGAUCAAGAAAUAACAUUCAUCCUUAAAAUAUCUUACCACAGAAUACAAACUAAAAAUGAAAACUGGAAGUAAAAGGGGAUUACAUUUACCAAUUUGUUUGAAAAUACCUCAAGAAUUGACUCCUUUCAUGGUUAAUGGUUAGUUUGCUGCCGAUGAGCGCUUUGCCCCACAAAAAUUUCUUUCUCAG
rnacentral:lncRNA from 1 species